GAUGAACGCUGGCGGCGUGCCUAAUACAUGCAAGUAGAACGCUGAAGCUUGGUGCUUGCACCGAGCGGAUGAGUUGCGAACGGGUGAGUAACGCGUAGGUAACCUGCCUGGUAGCGGGGGAUAACUAUUGGAAACGAUAGCUAAUACCGCAUAACAGUAGAUGUUGCAUGACAUCUGCUUGAAAGGGGCAAUUGCUCCACUACCAGAUGGACCUGCGUUGUAUUAGCUAGUUGGUGAGGUAACGGCUCACCAAGGCGACGAUACAUAGCCGACCUGAGAGGGUGAUCGGCCACACUGGGACUGAGACACGGCCCAGACUCCUACGGGAGGCAGCAGUAGGGAAUCUUCGGCAAUGGACGGAAGUCUGACCGAGCAACGCCGCGUGAGUGAAGAAGGUUUUCGGAUCGUAAAGCUCUGUUGUAAGAGAAGAACGAGUGUGAGAGUGGAAAGUCA
rnacentral:rRNA from 1 species